rnacentral:lncRNA from 1 species
GAUUGUUUCCAGUAACUCCCAUGUAAGCUAAUCAGUUCACUGGCAGUGGAGGCGUAGUGGGGAUAAAGCCAACUAUCUGCUCCAUUCUCCUGGCAGCAGGGAUUUGUUCAGAGAUGGCUCAAUGAAUUAAAAAUCAAGCUUUGGUUUUAUGGUUGUUGGAAAUGAUGCUUGCUCCUCCUCCAUGCCAAUGGAGCCCUCUUGCAACCAGAUAGUUAACAGUGUGCCAUUUCAUCUCCUGACCUCCACUGUUGGCCCUUCCAGCACAGUCUCCACAUUGCAACCAGAGAGAUCAGGCUCCGUCAAUAUUUGUCAACGAACACGCCGGAGCCGCUCAGCAACCUGAAAUCCUGCAGGGGGUGUUCCCAGAGCGCCACCCAGUGGCGGGUGAGGCCGCAUGCAGGUCAGGGAUCCGCAAGCUCCAGGACACACCUGAAAACAUGGGUCUGAAUCCUCCGGCGGGUGAGAGACUAAAUGACACCGCCGUCAGUUGCUGGGAGGGGAAGGCCAGGCCACUGGGAUCGUGGAUCGUGGUGCACAGAUCUGGCCAAAUAGCCCCGGCAGCCCCCGCUUCGCUGGGGAGCUCGUUACAAAUGCAGCAUCUCGGCCCCACCCUAGACCUACGGAGCCAAGCCCGCACCUGACAAGGUCCAGGGAAUCCGUGAGCACGGUUGAGCAGCCGGGCUCUCUACCCUGCACGUGCCUGCCCGCGCUGAGCCCCGAAAAUCUCUGCGCCCCGAGCCAGGAGCCAGGCUUCCCCGCAGACUGUCUGACCCUCAGCGAGAUGUCCAAUCUCUUCCGGCCUUGGUCUCUCCACCACUUCGGAGACCUUUGUAAAUGAUAUCACCGUGAUCAAACGAAGACCUGGGCUGGGGCCCUCCCGCUGGUCUAUGAUCUAUGGACUUUGGGGAACUAGUAAGAGAAAGCGGAGGGUAAGCCAUAGGACAAGAUAGGGGUGAGGAGAAAAGAAAUGGACUUCUAGAAAGA